GCAAAGACGGCGGGUGUAUCUUUGAGAAGGAUGACAUCAUCUACAAUUGUGCCUGUUCAAUUUGCGACUAAGGAUCCAAGACUAACCAGCUCUGCAUUAUGCAGCUGAUCAUGCUACCUGAAGAACACCUGCACCUUUUCUACAAGAAGGGUCCAAUUGGCCAUGAUCAUAUGGCACAGGAACGAGUCGAGGAUUUUGGUAACCAUGUCAACGGUGCUAUCAAGGAAUUUGCCCGUCUAUUCAAGGAGGUUACUGGAAAUGAUUUCGAGCCAUGGGAGAGAGAAAAGAAGUUUGAGAAGAAGAGUAUGAAGAUGUACCCCUUGGACAUGGACUAGUCCGUUGCCCGUGCGUUGCUACGGUGCCAUGCAUAUACUCUGGUUCAACACCAGUUCUGAAGUAUACCUUUAGAAUCCUCAUGAAAACUAAACAAUAUUGUUAUCCUUUUCUUUACAAUUAAAUCACUAUUUUCAUUUACCGUCAAUUUAUUUUUAUUUCAUUGAUCUACAGAAAAAUAUAUAUGUGUGCUUGCAUAA